rnacentral:rRNA from 1 species
UACGUAGGGGGCAAGCGUUGUCCGGAAUUAUUGGGCGUAAAGAGCGCGUAGGCGGUCCGAUAAGUCGGCUGUGAAAGUCGGGGGCUCAACCCUCGGAUGCCGGUGGAUACUGUCGGGCUUGAGUACGGAAGAGGCGAGUGGAAUUCCUGGUGUAGCGGUGAAAUGCGUAGAUAUCAGGAGGAACACCGGUGGUGUAGACGGCUUUCUGGACCGUAACUGACGCUGAGACACGAAAGCGUGGGUAGCAAACAGG